rnacentral:sRNA from 1 species
UACCUCAAGUGAUCCACCCACCUCGGCCUCCCAAAGUUCUGGGAUUACAGGCGUGAGCCACCACACCGGGCCUCCCUGUUAAGCCCAGUUUAUCCAGUAUUUCUAGGUGUUUUGUACAAAAGAGUUUUCAGGGCAUUUAGCCUAACAUAAAGCAGAAACAAAAGUCAGGAUGAGUCAAGUAACAGUAUUUGAGAAAACUUCAGAGGUAGAACCAACAGGAUUUGCUGAUGCUUUGAAUGAAAGCAGAGAUAAGACAGAACAGGGAAUUUAAGGAUGAUUCCUAGAUUUCUGGCUUGCACAAAGGAGUAGAUGGUGGUCUACCAUUUAUUUAGAUGGGGAAGUCAGACAGGGAGAGAGGCA